GACGAACGCUGGCGGCGUGCUUAACACAUGCAAGUCGAACGGAAAGGCCUCUUUCGGGGGGUACUCGAGUGGCGAACGGGUGAGUAACACGUGAGUAACCUGCCCUUGACUUUGGGAUAACUUCAGGAAACUGGGGCUAAUACCGGAUAGGAGCUCCUGCUGCAUGGUGGGGGUUGGAAAGUUUCGGCGGUUGGGGAUGGACUCGCGGCUUAUCAGCUUGUUGGUGGGGUAGUGGCUUACCAAGGCUUUGACGGGUAGCCGGCCUGAGAGGGUGACCGGCCACAUUGGGACUGAGAUACGGCCCAGACUCCUACGGGAGGCAGCAGUGGGGAAGAUUGCACAAUGGGUGGAAGCCUGAUGCAGCAAGGCCGUGUGCGGGAUGACGGCCUUCGGGUUGUAAACCGCUUUCGCUCAUGACGAAGCUUUGUGUGACGGUAGUGGGUAAAGAAGCACCGGCUAACUACGUG
rnacentral:rRNA from 1 species